AAUUUUUUUUUUUUUUAUUUACCAGAAAAAACAGUUAGCAAGUCUGAGUGAUAAGUCUGCUAGUGUUAAAAGAUUAUGGCCAACUUGAUGAAAAUCGUAGAGGUCUCCCAUGUAGCUCCUUUACAAGAUUCUUCUUCCAACUCACUCACCGAAUUCAUUCUCCAACUCACUUUCCUCGAUACCUUCUGUCUCAAAUUCCAUCCAGGAGAGUUUCUUUUCUUCUAUUCCCUCACCCACUCUAAUCCAUCAACCUUUACUUCCGUCCUCUCCACACUCAAACACUCCCUCUCUCUCACCCUCCUCAGUUUCCUUCCUCUGGCUGGAAACCUCACUUGGCCUCCCCAUUCUCAAAAACCUUUUCUUCUCUACAAACCAGGUGAUGCAGUCUCUCUCACAUUCGCCGAGUCCGAUGCAGAUUUCAACCAUGUCUCAAGCAAACAUGUGCGCCAAGCCAUUGACACUCGUUCUCUCCUGCCCAGCUUGACCAUAUCAGAUACAGAGGCUUCGGUUUUGGCAUUGCAAAUCACACUGUUUCCCUACACUGGGUUUUGUAUUGGUAUCGCUUUUCAUCACGCUGCUAUUGAUGGCACAUCUUUGACCAUGUUCUUGAAGUCUUGGGCGCACUACACACGUAGCAGAGAAGAAAAGUAUUCAAGUUCGAUCCUCCCCACUGAUCUAUCUCCUUUCUACGAUCGGACAGUCAUUAAAGAUCCAUCUGGGCUCGACAUUUUGUACUUAAACCGAUGGUUGGAGAAGACAGUGAGCUCUAAUAAAGGCAAUUCAUGCUGCUUCAAGUUUUGGUCAGAAUUGAAAUUGCUAUCCAAUUUAGUCCGACAAGAUUUCGAUUUAAGCCUUGGAAACGUUGAAAAACUCAGGAAGAUGGUGUUAAUUCGGCAAGAGAAUACAACAAAACUCCAUUUGAGCACAUUUGUGCUUGUUUGUGCCUAUAUUGUGGUUAGCUUGGUUAAAGCGAAAGGAAAUUCAAGGGAAAGCAAGAGGAAGAUUUAUCUGGUACUCAACGCCGACUACAGGGCACGUUUAGACCCUCCGGUUCCCGAGAACUAUUUCGGUAACUGUAUCGGUUCUCAUUUAGUUGCUUUGGAAGAAGCAGAGUGCAUGGAAUUACAAGAUGGGGUGGCCAUUGUUGCAGAGAAGAUCGGCGAAGUGAUUAAGGGUUUGGAAAAUGGAGUUCUUGAAGGAGCAGAAGAGAGAUUAUCCAAGUGGGGUUCGCUGGAAGCAGGAGCUCAAGUGAUUGGAGUAUCUGGGUCUCAUCGGUUUGGUUUGUACAGUCUGGAUUUUGGAUGGGGAAAGCCUAAGAAGAUGGAGAUCACAUCCAUUGACAGAAAUGGAGCUUUUUCUAUGGCGGAAUCAAGGGACGGAAGUGGAGGGGUUGAAAUUGGUUUGGUUUUGAAGAAGCAUGAGAUGGAGCUUUUUGGCUUUCUAUUUCAUCAGGGCCUAGAAAAUUUAUGAAUUUCUGGUACACAAAGACACUGUCUCAUUCAAAAACCAAAAUGAAUUUAAGAAAUUUGGACCAAUAAAGCGAGGAGGUAUCCAAGUCAGAAAUAAUAAGCAACAAGGAUACUGUUCUGGUGUUUUAGAAUUUCAAUCUUUGGGCUCCAUGAAUAGUGCCAUACAGAUUCUUGUAAUGCCGUCUACUUGAAUGAUAAUCUUCAUGUUUGGACCUUCUAUUUGCAACUAAAAUGCAUCUAAAUCUGUUUUAAUUUUCCUGCAUGGCCUUUCUCCAACAGCUAAUGCACCCAUUUUCAGAAAGCAAGGGAACCAUGUUUGUUGUCCUUUGCUGAUAGCUUGAUAACUGAGCAAAAGGCUCCAAAUGCACAUGUUUUGAUUUAUUUUGGAGCUCCUUUUCCCGAUUAUGGUCAUUAGAAUGUGUCUAGAAGCAAUCCAGUGGAAGGAUCACUUGUAAAUAUAGUGGCUAUUAAAUUGAUUUCAGCAGCAUAUUACUUUUCUAUUUGAAGGAUAGAAUGUCUAAAAUAGAUUUGAUGACCAGUGAAAAUUCUGUAUUAGUUACGAAGAAAGUUUAUCGGUUAAUGACAUUUACUCUUCCUUGGGGGGAUGGGGGUUGUUGGUAAUUGUACUUUAGCAAAUGCUCUGUUUCAUUCUAUCUUAUAUGCACCCCUCUUCUCUCUCUUUCACCUUUCUUAUUUUAUUUUAUUUUUUCCUGUCAUGGAGAUCUAUCAAAGGUUUUUUUUCACCUUUUGCCGAUAGGUAUUACUAUCUUUUAUAGUAAUGUGACAUAUUAGGUUUUCCUUUGACCGAUAAGAUUUUCUAGCAUUUCUUGUUGUGGAUCUUUGGCUUGGCAUAAAUUUAAGACUAAGCUUUCUUCCACAUAGUGGAAGAAAACCCCAGUUAGGAGUCAUAGGACCAUUGAGUAAUCUUCUAAUCACACUUGGAAGAAUAUUUGAACUCAAAUCCUGGUUUACCACUUCGAAGUGUGGUGUAAAGCCAUAAAGUUGAUAUGUUCCUCAUGGUAUAUUGUUUUGUUUUAAAAAUUAAGAAUUGAUUAUCUGGUUUAGUGUUAAUAUGCAUAUAUCCCAUUGCCAGGUGCAGGGAUUCUUUUAUUAAUUUAUUGUGAUAGCUUUAACUGAUCCACCUUCUGUUAUGUUUUAUCCCCUUUCUAAAUUUACCCAUUAGUGCUUCUAGUCCUUUGUAAAUAAAUAAAUGUCCAAAUUUUUAAUAUCAUUCGUAUGAUCAGGCAACGCACUGGUUGUUAGACUGGUUUACUGCGAUUUUUUUUUUUUUUUCCCUCUUACUUUAUGGUUUUUAUUGUUUAAGACUGCUGGGAACGAAUGUUGGGCAGAAUUUAUAUUUGAUUUAUCAAUAUCUCAAUUUUUUUUUUUGUUGGUGGGUUUUGACCAUUUGGUGUUUUGAGGUCGAUUUAGGGUUUAGAUUUUGAGCUUUUGCUCCUUUUAGAUCCAAGUAAUAUAUCACUGUUGAUAUAAGAACAUUCUUUUUUUAGGGUUUCCUUAGAAUGCGGCUAUUCAUGUAUCAAGCUGUUUCCCUUUUCAACAAAAAUGUGGGUAAAUUAAAAUAUGGCAAGUGCUUGUCUUGUUCAUUUUCCAUCUUGCUAAUCCAAAACAGUCCACAUUUUCGUCUAUAUAUGUUGUUUUAAAAUUCAACCUGGUUCUGUACUUUGAUCAUUCUUAGAAAUAAGUUGGUGGUUGGUAAUGCUGUCGAUAUCUAUGUUAAACUAAAUGAGCCUAAUGCUAGUUUCUCCAUCUCUCUUACUAGUUGGACCUUGUUUAUCUAACUUUGUUUUGGUUUCAAAAGUUAUGGAGGUAUGAGAUAGUAAUAUUCCGUUGUUGGUUUU